rnacentral:rRNA from 1 species
AUUGAACGCUGGCGGCAUGCUUUACACAUGCAAGUCGAACGGCAGCGCGGGCUUUGGCCUGGCGGCGAGUGGCGAACGGGUGAGUAAUACAUCGGAACGUGCCCAGUAGUGGGGGAUAGCUCGGCGAAAGCCGGAUUCAUACCGCAUACGACCUGAGGGUGAAAGCGGGGGAUCUUCGGACCUCGCGCUAUUGGAGCGGCCGAUGGCAGAUUAGCUAGUUGGUGGGGUAAAGGCCUACCAAGGCGACGAUCUGUAGCUGGUCUGAGAGGACGACCAGCCACACUGGGACUGAGACACGGCCCAGACUCCUACGGGAGGCAGCAGUGGGGAAUUUUGGACAAUGGGCGAAAGCCUGAUCCAGCAAUGCCGCGUGUGUGAUGAAGGCCUUCGGGUUGUAAAGCACUUUUGGCGGGAACGAAAAGGACUGUGCCAAUACCACGGUUCGAUGACGGUACCCGCAGAAUAAGCACCGGCUAACUACGUG